GAUGAACGCUGGCGGCGUGCUUAACACAUGCAAGUCGAACGGAAAGGCUCUUCCUUGCAGGGGUUCUCGAGUGGCGAACGGGUGAGUAACACGUGGGUGAUCUGCCCUUCACUUUGGGAUAAGCUUAGGAAACUGGGUCUAAUACCGGAUAGGACGAUCUUUUGGAUGCCAUUGUUGUAAGUUUUUUCGGUGUGGGAUGUGCUCGCGGCCUAUCAGCUUGUUGGUGUGGUGUUGGUAUACCAAAGCGUCGACGGGUAGCCGGCCUGAGAGGGCGUACGGCCACAUUGGGACUGAGAUACGGCCCAGAAUCCUACGGGAGGCAGCAGUGGGGAAUAUUGCACAAUGGGCGCAAGCCUGAUGCAGCGACGCCGCGUGGGGGAUGACGGCCUUCGGGUGGUAAACUCCUUUCGCUAGGGACGAAGCGAAAGUGACGGUACCUGGAGAAGAAGCACCGGCUAACUACGUG
rnacentral:rRNA from 1 species